CAAUCCUAGGACCCUGAGAUCAUGAUUGAGCUGAAAGCAGAGCUAUGGAAGCAACUAGGAGAGAAACCAGGAACCCAGGAUGAGACCGCAGCAGGGGAGGGAACUCACCAAACCUGGAGUUCCUCAUUAAGGGCCCAUCUGUCCCUUACCUGGACCCUCCCCUACAGAAGGCACUGUGCCAAUCAUGUGCCCUCUGUUCUCUAGACACUCUCCAGCAGCAGCAGAGAUCUAAUUGAUUCUGCAGAACACAUGACGAAACUUCGAUGCAGAGAAUUGGAUGGCUUAUCUGAGGACAUCUAGAGACUUCAGCUCACAAGGGAGAACAGAAGGCCCUGGUACCAAAUAACAACGCAGAGGACGAAACUGAUUGUUACCUAACAAGACCUGUAGCCAGGGGAACUCGGAUGCUCAGAGAGGAUGAUGGGGUUCUCAUGGUUCAGUGCUCUGUGGUUCUCUUUUUUCCCUGUGGUUCUCUGCUUGCCGGAUGCCUGAUUCAGUUGUACUGUCUUAAAACGGGCAAUGCUCGGAGGCAUGGCUGGGUCAGGAAGAAGGGGCUUGCCAUUAGCCCUGAUUAUUUAAGCAAACUCUAAUUCUUCUUUCCCAGCACCCCAACUCUCCCCCCACCCUAUACGCUUGCCGCGUGCAGAAUGCCUGUGGGUUCCUAAGGGAAUGCCGGGCUCCCAGACAGGGGAGGCUUUCCGCCCCUCCCCCAGACCUCCCCAUGUGGGCUGGGGGGAAUGCAGUCACAUCAUUUGCAUUUAUCAGGGAGAAUAUACCGCCUUGUCUGUAGCCUUUAGUCUGACUGAAUUGCUUUUCUGCUUCAUGAGACACACAGCGCGCCAGCCCAG